rnacentral:rRNA from 1 species
GACGAACGCUGGCGGCGUGCUUAACACAUGCAAGUCGAACGGAAAGGCCCUGCUUUUGUGGGGUGCUCGAGUGGCGAACGGGUGAGUAACACGCGAGUAACCUGCCCUUGACUUUGGGAUAACUUCAGGAAACUGGGCCUAAUACCGGAUAGGAGCUCCUGCUGCAUGGUGGGGGUUGGAAAGUUUCGGCGGUUGGGGAUGGACUCGCGGCUUAUCAGCUUGUUGGUGGGGUAGUGGCUUACCAAGGCUUUGACGGGUAGCCGGCCUGAGAGGGUGACCGGCCACAUUGGGACUGAGAUACGGCCCAGACUCCUACGGGAGGCAGCAGUGGGGAAUAUUGCACAAUGGGCGGAAGCCUGAUGCAGCAACGCCGCGUGCGGGAUGACGGCCUUCGGGUUGUAAACCGCUUUCGCCUGUGACGAAGCGUGAGUGACGGUAAUGGGUAAAGAAGCACCGGCUAACUACGUG